GUCUAACCUCGACACGUCUGCUCACUCAUUCACUACUCCGAAGGGAGAGGAAGGCUAAGAGAGGGAGUGGGACGCCAGAAAGACCCGGAAGGGAUAAAACGGACCGCGUUGUGUUUGCGAUUCUUAUGUUUUCUGUGUCCGUUGGUUUCGAAGAUCCUCCGUAGUUUUGGACAAAGCCUUGUUCACGUGGAUUAUGUUCAGUUCUGACACAGUUUUCACGGUGGGAGCAGAUUCAUCAGGGACAAGAAGAUAAGAAAAGUUGUCAGCAAAUAAUUGGCUAGUCUAGAACUUUCGUCACAAGUGUUACACAUUUUUAAAACGUUUCUUUCAAAACUUCUGAAGGUAAAGAGUUAACAAUAUCACGUGACACUAUUAGUUUGUGAAUUUGUUCCAUUCAAAGACUAAAGAGAAGUGAAGAACUAAAAACAAAACAACUACGUGUAAAGAUUGAUUCGCCUCUCAGUUAUGGAUGACGCAGAUCUGAUCGCUAAAAUUGGCAGGAAAAGGUACCGCCGUCGCCUGGAAAGAGAUCGCUACUUUACGCAAGCCAUUGACCCGUCCAGUCUUUCGUCCCCAAGCCCUCCCCCAACCAGUGUGUGCAGUAACAUGUCCACCACAGCAGCAGGCAACAAACUCGCCCAGGAGAUUCACGACGAGUUUCUGACCUGUAAAAUCUGUCUGGAAGGGUUCAAGUCUCCCAAAUGCCUGGAUUGUUUGCACACUUUCUGUGAGCAAUGUAUUGACAACCAUGUCCUCAAUGAGUGCUCCUACAAAAAGUACUCGGACUACAGAGAGUUCACGUGUCCACUCUGCCGCAAGAGAACUCAGCUCCCCAUCGGAGGCGUGAAAAAGCUGCCGGACAACUUCCUGGUGUCCAGUUUGGGCGAGGUGGUGGCCCGACAGAAGCCCAGCAAGUUUCCCUUCUGUGACAUCUGCAAGCUUGUCAACCGGAAGCACCGCGAGGCGACCAGUAAAUGUCUGGAUUGUAACAAGUUGCUGUGUAAGCAGUGCGUAGACAUGCACAAGGAAACCAAGGUCACCCAGAACCACAGUUUGUUUGACGUGGAGAUUGAGAAGGACAUUGAAUGCAAGGAACACCAGGACGAGGUGGUCAGGUUCUACUGUGAGCCGUGCCAGACCUGUAUAUGUGUACUGUGUACAUUCAACGAGCACAAGGACCAUGAGAUUUCCCAGUUCAAUGACGCGGUCAACAAAUACAAAGAAAACAUUCAGGACCUGCUGGGCAGCUGCAAGAGCAAGAUUGACAUAUAUGACAGGCAGUUGGCAUUGUUGAAUAAAUGUGAAGGUGUCAUCAAGUCAGCAGAGCAGAAGAUCCAUGAUGCUGCCAUUCAGUUCAUCGCUGAGAUCAGGAACAAAGAGAAAGCACUCAUCGAUGAGCUGCACGACUUCUAUGGAGCCGAGCUCAUGACCUACGUGACCCGGAAGAACGAGAUGCAGAACAACCUCGACGGCCUGAAGAGCACAUGCAGCCUGACGGAGCUGGUGCUGAAGGGCAAGGACAUCGAGCUGCUGCUUCUGAAGAAGCAGGUCCAGGAGAAACUCUCGGCCAUGGCGAAUGUGGAGCUGAAAGACUUGCCUCGCACUGUGGGCAAGCAGGUCUGCUUCGUGUCUGGAAGCUUGGAUCUGGGCAGGCUGGAAGACCCUGAUGCCCCGAUCGACAAGAAGAAAGAGUUGCAGAGGGAGAGAGACGCCCUGGAAGACAGUCACCGCUUAACGCUGCCUAAUAUGCUGUUUGGGCAAAAAGGCAUUGAGAGGGACAUUAUCAAAGAAGUCAUAAAGUCGACACCAAAGAGGACCACUGACACCCAGACCGACCCAAUGCAAGAUAAAGCUUCAACAAAGAGCCUGGUCAACAGAUGCAUACAGACAGAGUACCCGGAGAGAUACGACAGAGAAGACUCCUCUGCCAGCAGCAGCAACCGAGGGUCCUUGGAGACUCGCGGGACAGGAACUGACGUCAUAUUCACUAACGAGAAAGCCGUCAACACCCCGACCAGAAGUCUUCACUCCAUGUCCACUCAGAUUCAGGGCGCAGGGGCGUCCAAGGAGAUCUCCCCUUCCACCUUCGCGGACGGGAGCACCGACACGGACUCUGCCGUACUCCGGAGGCAGCGUCGUCGCCGAGAGAGGAAAGCAGUGGAGGUUUCGGUGCGGCCGACGACGUCUUACCGCUCGACGGCCCCAGCUGAAGGGUACGCUCUUCCUGUUUUGACCUAUAGCAGUAGCAUCGACGACAAUACCGACACCAAGGGGGGCGACGCGGUGACCGAAGUGGUGGCGAACAUUUCCUUGCCAGUGGUGGCGCCUAGCGUCACCAUAAACAGCGAUGCUGUGGUGACCACUUCGCUCAUCAGUCGAGAGCCGAUGACGUUUGAGGCUUUUGUGACCCAAAGACAAAGACAGCAUCAGGCUAAUGUUUAACACACCUUGGUUCAACAAUAAAUGUUAAACUGACAAACUAACGACAUUUUUAAUGACAUUUCGGUUUCGUCUUUCGACACUAUAUGAAGUAAAUAAUGAGUUAUAUACAUGCUUACCAUGACUUUUGAGAUAAAAGAAAUGAGGUCAUAAUAUUCACGUAACUGUUUGAUGGUGUCGAUGGGUAGUGCGUUAAUUUUUUAUUUUAAUCAUCAACAUUUGCAUAUAAAUUCCAGAGUUUUUUUUUUAAAUCUUAAAUAGCCAGUUUUGACAGUAUGACAGUGUCAAGACUGUAAUAACAGUAAUAUUAUAUUGACUAUUAACCGAAAUAAAUACAAGUAUUUUACCAUAAGGACCAUAUGACAUUUCAAUGUUACAUUUACUGAGAUAUUGAUUUAUUUCCAUUAUCAAAUACAUAAACAAACACACUAAUAUACGAAACAAAUGCCAACUGCAAUAUUUAUGAAUUUUGCACAAAAUAAGUCCGAGUCCAGUUAUAUCCUAAUGUAAUGCCAAUAUCUUAUCUUAUAUAUCAACAUUGACUUCUAUAAAUUAAUAAAUAUUAACAAACUUUGCCAGUUGAUUGAUUUCCAUUUUAAUUCAAAACCAGCAAAGACCACAGCAAGAUAUUUUUAAAUACUCGAAUGAUAUAUUUCAAACUGGUAUAUUUAAAAGUUGAAUUCACAAAGAAAUGUAAUGAUUUAGGCUUUUUUUUUUUUUGAUGAUUAGGCCUCUGGUUAUUUUUCAUUCGAAUUAGUCUUACAGUUGGCAUUAGCCUUUCAGUAUCUCUAGGAAAUUAAUAAAUAGAAAUAAUAUGCCUAAAGUAUGCUCAGUUGAAUUAGGCAAUCAUUACGACGCUGAAAAUAUUCUAAUCACCUGAAACAGAAGUAAGAAUAUAUAGACCAAUUUAUUUGUGAUAGUUCAUGAUAGAACUGUCCAUAGAAUUUUAAAUAUCACAUGUUUUAACAUCAUUGUUUAAAAAUAUUUGUUUCAUUGUUGUAUUUUCCCAUUCAUAUUCUGAUUUCCUCACUGUGUCUUCGGAGAUUUCCGAAAUUUUCAGAUUAACCCUGCGUCCUAAUUAAAUUUUAUCCAAUCCGAUAAAGUCGUUAGAGGAUAUGGAAUCAUUCCUAAAUAACCUCAACGCCAGAAAACCGUUUUUGACCAAUGGCUAUCACAGGAGGUCAUCUCCAUAGCAACCGCUAGGCUUUAGAGAUAUAUAUUCUGUAUUUAGCGUUGACGAGAAUUAGAAACAGACUUGUGUACAUUUAUUGUUUGAAUAGCGUGUGAUACAAGACACACACCUAGAGAUGUGUAGCAUGUCAGAGCACAACCACAUCAUCCAUUUAGUGAUCUGAGAGCCUGUAAACACAAAAAGUCAAAGCUUUGUAUGCAAGGUUUAGAUUUAAUACCCAACCCAGAAGCCAGUAAUGGAUCUACCAAGACACAUACAGCUAUAAAUAUAGCUAAUUAUGCCCACUUACACACACACACAAAAGUUGUUUCCUUGGGACGCUUCACUGUAUUGUUCUAUUUUCACACUAAACGUCAAUCCCAGUAAUCUGCUAUCUGCUUACACUUAUAUUUUUUGAUGGUCCCAUUCACGCAAUGAAUACAGUAAAAGAGAUAAAGAAAGAGACCGAUAUGAAGAAAUGUGGUGACGAUAUAAUGAAAGCUAAAGUGAAAAAAUUAGAAAAUAGAAAGAGGAAGCUAGAGAUUUGAAAUAAAUUUACAAAAUAAGCAACGCCAAAUUAAAAUAAUCAAUGCUGCCAACUAAAACAUAAAAACUAUUUGGUGCUAGAAACAAAAGAGCUAGAAAUUUGAUUCUGCAUUGCUAAAAAAGUGCUUAAAAAAAUGUGUAUGUAGCUUAUUUCAUUACUUCCCUUACCACUGAAUUCUGUACACGGAUACACCAUUAAGUUUGGUAGGCUUAGGCCUACAUAUAUCUUGGUAGAUCGGCGAUGGUGCUUGAGAACAUAUUUGUGUGUGUGUUAUAUAUAAAUAUAUAUAUAUAUAUCAUUUGUCCCUGAUGUCACGUCAUUUUGAUACAUAUGUGUAUGCCGCUACUUCCGUUCAUUUCUAACGACAGUGCUAACAUGUGCUAAUUAUAGUUUCCUCCGAGUCACGUGAUCUGUAUAGCAUGCUGGUUCCGCCAUGUUUAAAUCAUCGUUUGCUUGUGAAAGACCACCAACAAAUUGAUGCCAUGUUCAGCUAAUGUGUUCAGUUCUAUGAUUGGCAGGAAUCGUGAAUUGAAAAAAUGCCGUGUUCUGUAAUUCUGUAUUAAGGGAGGUCACUGUAAGACAUUUGAAGCUGAGUUGUUGAUAGAGCAUUGUGUUUGUAAAUUUAUAUCGCAGAUGUCUUUCUUUAAGGUUAUUUUUUUUUAAGGCUAUGGAUACAGUGAACUGUAUCAUGGCUUGUGAAGACAGCGAAAUCACACACAUUCUGAGGGCUUAACUCCCACAUUGUGAGGGCUAAACUCUCACAUUGUGAGGACUGAACUCCCACAUUGUGAGGGCUAAACUCCCACAUUGUGAGGGCUAAACUCUCGCAUUGUGAGGACUGAACUCCCACAUUGUGAGGACUGAGCUCCCACAUUGUGAGAACUGAACUCUCACAUUGUGUGUGCUGCAAGAGUAAAAUCAUAAUUUUAAUGCCUCCGAAGGUUCCUAAGAUAAGGAAAUGAUAAGUCAAAAUCCAGAAAGUCAUGUUCUGUACAAUGUCCUCUCCCGAGUCAUACCUCAUUAUUUGUACUGUUCUCUUACAUUGCCAAAACAACGCAAAUAAAAAAAUCGCCAUUCUCUUAUUGUGAAAUUAUAAACCAUAUUAUUAUAUGAUAAGAUAAUAUCUCUUAUUUCAAAAUAGAUGUAUCAUCUAUUUUUUUUUUUGGUAUAUAUAAUUUGGUGUCAUUUUGCAUCAUUCUUCAUCCAACUUGACAUUCAUAUUGUGUUCAUUGAAUGACAUUUCCUGUUGUAUUUAGCGCAAUGAUAAGUUUGUCCGCCAGCAGCAGUAAUUAGCUUUUGUGUUUUUUUGUUUUAUUUUAUAAUGAACUACACAGGAUCCGAUAAACGCACAUGUUAAAUAUAAAGAAAAAAAAGUGCGAAAUAAGAUUAAUGUUAUAAGAAUUCUAUUUAUUUCGUCUCAAAUAGGACACAUUUUUACAUAUAUCAAGAUGAUUAUUAAAUGCAUUUAUAUAUUAAAGCUUGAAAAUGGGAAAGAGCCUCUGCACAAAUUCUGCCCAUGGCCUCCACUUACUAAACUCCGGCACUGAUACUACAAACUUGUUUUCAAUGCUUUGAGGUAGUCUCAGAAUCCUAUCAUCUGACUAAUUAUUCUUUACAAUGUUGUCAUUGAUUCUAUAAUUAUUUUUUUUUUAAAUUUAAGUCUAUAGCCUUUGGUUGAAGUUUUUUUAUUUGAUGAGCUCAUAUUGCCCUUAUAGCGUAAAAAAAUACUUUCGUUUUUGCAGUUUUGAGGUAGCAUGGUCAAGUUUUACUUGACUGGGAAGUAGAAAGUCCAGCAAACUUUGGACAAUGUCGAUUGUGGAUAUGAAAAUGUUUGGAUACAUUUGGGGCCCUAUAACCAGCGCCGUUUCCAUUAUCAAAACAAAUAGGAAAGCAAUAUAGAAACACAUAUAGAGAUACAUAUAUAUAUACUCGCGUAUAGUGUUGUCUAUUUAUUACAAUCGCAUUAUGGCUGUGUCUUGAAUUAUUAUUGUUUCUUUUUUUUUUAAAUACCAUAUGUACUAUUGUCUUUAUAGUUUUAUAUUGUUGAGUUGGACAUGUAUUUUUGUUAGACUUUAGUUCAAAGCUCUGUUAAUCAUUGCAAACAAAGUGUACAAUACAAUAAGACAGAAUAAAAUAGUUGGAAAACAAAA